rnacentral:rRNA from 1 species
AUAUAUUUUACUAAUUACUUAUAGUGCUGUCUACGGCCAUACCUAGGCGAAAACACCAGUUCCCGUCUGAUCACUGCAGUUAAGCGUCUGAGGGCCUCGUUAGUACUAUGGUUGGAGACAACAUGGGAAUCCGGGGUGCUGUAGGCU